rnacentral:lncRNA from 1 species
GUGCUGAACCACGUACAGAAGGGGGCUGAGACACCGGGGCCCUGGGCCCCGGAAAUUAGAAAUGGAGAAAUGGAAGGCUGGGUGCUGGCGUUUCGGAAAUGCAUGCUCGUGGUGUUCCUCUUUAUGUAAGGGAAGCUUCUGGGCCUUUUCCCUGCCUGUCGAACGUUCUGUAUGUUUUUGCGGGAUGUGUGAGGUGUGCUGUCUUGCUCCACUUUGAGGCACCGCCCCCACUGCGGGAGUGCUGGGGACCUGCCCCAUGGGGCAUCCUCGGGGCCAGCCCUGUGGCCACAGGCAUCUGGGCCCUCGCUGCCCCUGGCCGGGACACACUGCCGGUCCUGUGCAGUGGCUCAAAGCCCCUCUACCGGGGGUGACCCGGUCUCUCCGGAGAUGAAGUGCAGCGGGGGUCUAGGCCGGCUUCCUGGCCCCCCACCCCUCCUGGCUUUACCCCCGAGGCCACGUCCAAAGCCCCCAGCGCCCCACCCCCGCCAGCCUCCCCCUUGAGGGCCCAGUGACCUAACUGGGCCGGCAGGGUCCGAGGAAGACCAGGGUCAGCGGCGGCACGGUCCGUUCCGCGACCCCUCUCCUGUGACCCCAGGUAGGCCGCCGAUCGGUUCCCGGCUGAGGUCCCGCCCCAGCGCCCGCCUCCCGGGCUCCAACCUCUUUGCUCAGCCCGGGAGGCUCGGCUGGCUGGGGCGGGCGUAACCGUGGGGCGAGGCCCGCCGGUCUUUCUGAUUUCCGCGGGCGGCGUGGGCGCUGAGGCAGCCGCGGUCAGGACCUGGCCGGGAGUCGGGGCUGCUCCGUGGACCCCGCGUCUGCGCCGAAACCCCGCAUGGCUUCGGGGGCCGGACCUGCGCCUCCGCCUAACUCCGGCCGCCGGAGACGCCGUGCGGACCCCAAGCCAGUGCGCGGAAGACACCGUCCUACCCUCGGCAUGGCUGCCUCCCACCCGGUCACGUCGGUCCCCGCGCCCCACGCCGACGCGCAGGCGACCCGGGGACGCGGAGACGCAGACAGCUCGGGACUCAGUGGGGACAGCCUGGCUUGGCGGGGACGCACCAGUCCCGCCGC